rnacentral:rRNA from 1 species
UACGUAGGGGGCAAGCGUUGUCCGGAUUUAUUGGGCGUAAAGAGCGUGUAGGCGGCCAGGUAGGUCAGCUGUGAAAACUCGAGGCUCAACCUCGAGACGUCGGUUGAAACCACUUGGCUAGAGUCCGGAAGAGGAGAGUGGAAUUCCUGGUGUAGCGGUGAAAUGCGUAGAUAUCGGGAGGAACACCAGUGGCGCAAGCGGCUAACUGGCCGAGACCUGACGCUGAGACGCGACGGCGUGGGGAGCAAACCGG